rnacentral:misc_RNA from 1 species
CUGAAUGGCCCUGGGCCUUCAACCUUACAAACCUGUGGAAGCAACAUGUGCUUCGGCGCCUUUGGCGUCGCAUUUAUGCUGCAAUAAGCCCAUGUGUCUGAAUCAAAUACAAGAAAUA